GGAGCUAACGCGUUAAAUCGACGCCUGGGGAGUACGGCCGCAAGGUUAAAACUCAAAUGAAUUGACGGGGGCCCGCACAAGCGGUGGAGCAUGUGGUUUAAUUCGAUGCAACGCGAAGAACCUUACCUACUCUUGACAUCCAGAGAACUUUCCAGAGAUGGAUUGGUGCUUUCGGGAACUCUGAGACAGGUGCUGCAUGGCUGUCGUCAGCUCGUGUUGUGAAAUGUUGGGUUAAGUCCCGCAACGAGCGCAACCCUUAUCCUUUGUUGCCAGCGGUUCGGCCGGGAACUCAAAGGAGACUGCCAGUGAUAAACUGGAGGAAGGUGGGGAUGACGUCAAGUCAUCAUGGCCCUUACGAGUAGGGCUACACACGUGCUACAAUGGCGUAUACAAAGAGAAGCGACCUCGCGAGAGCAAGCGGACCUCAUAAAGUACGUCGUAGUCCGGAUUGGAGUCUGCAACUCGACUCCAUGAAGUCGGAAUCGCUAGUAAUCGUAGAUCAGAAUGCUAGGGUGAAUACGUUCCCGGGCCUUGUACACACCGCCCGUCACACCAUGGGAGUGGGUUGCAAAAGAAGUAGGUAGCUUAACCUUCGGGAGGGCGCUUACCACUUUGUGAUUCAUGACUGGGGUGAAGUCGUAACAAGGUAACCA
rnacentral:rRNA from 1 species